GAACGGCACCACGAAGGUUAUACUGUCUCCUUUCCCUAAUCAGUGAAACUAAUCUCCUCGUGAAGAAGCGAGGAUAAAAAUAUAAGACGAGAAGACCCUAUGGAGCUUUAAACAAUGCGACAACUGCUACUAGUCUAUUUAAGGCCCCAGAGUCUCUAAGUUAAUUUAGCACUUUGACGCAAGUUUUAGGUUGGGGUGACCGCGGAGCAUAAUACAACCUCCACGCUGAAAGAAUCCUAUUUUUAGCCAAGAGCUACUACCCCAGGCACCAGCACACUGUCAUCUAUUGACCCAAUACAAUUGAACAACGAACCAAGUUACCCUAGGGAUAACAGCGCAAUCCACUUCAAGAGCCCCUAUCGACAAGUGG
rnacentral:rRNA from 1 species